rnacentral:rRNA from 1 species
UACCAGCACCCCGAGUGGUCGGGACGAUUAUUGGGCCUAAAGCAUCCGUAGCCGGUCAUGCAAGUCUUCCGUUAAAUCCACCUGCUCAACAGAUGGGCUGCGGAAGAUACUAUAGGGCUAGGAGGCGGGAGAGGCAAGCGGUACUCAGUGGGUAGGGGUAAAAUCCUCUGAUCCAUUGAAGACCACCAGUGGCGAAGGCGGCUUGCCAGAACGCGCUCGACGGUGAGGGAUGAAAGCUGGGGGAGCAAACCGG